rfam:Echinostoma caproni strain Egypt genome assembly, scaffold: ECPE_scaffold0000052
GCACUGCUGAUGAGACCCAACUAGGUUGAAACAGCUGUCCAGUGC